rnacentral:rRNA from 1 species
AGUCGAACGGCAGCACGGACUUCCGGUCUGGUGGCGAGUGGCGAACAGGUGAGUAAUAUCAGGAACGUGCCUAGUAGCGGGGAUAACUACGCAGCGUAGCUAAUACCACGCCGCGCUCGAAGCGGGGGGACCUUCGGGCCUCGCACUAUUAGAGCGGCCGAUAUCGGAUUAGCUAGUUGGUGGGAGUAACGGCUCACUGCAGGCGACGAUCGCUGGUUUGAGAGGACGACCAGCCACGCAGGACUGGGGCAAGCGGCCAGACUCCUGCAGGAGGCAGCAGUGGGGAAUUUUGGGCAAUGGGGGAAACCUGAUCAACCAUCCCGCGUGUGCGAUGAAGGCCUUCGGGUUGUAAAAAACACUUUUAGCGGAAAGAAACGGCGGGAUAAUACCCCGUGCAACUGACGGCCACCUGCAGAAUAAGCACAAACUAACUACGUGCCAGCAGCCGCGGUAGCCGUAGGGUGCAGCGUUAAUCAGGAAUUACUGGGCGUAAAGCGUGCGCAGGCGGUUCGGAAAGAAAGAUGAAAUCGAGCUUAACUUUGGAACUGCAUUUUUAACUACCGAGCUAGAGUGUGUCAGAGGAAGUGGAAUUCCGCGUGUAGCAGUGAAAUGCGUAGAUAUGCGGAGGAACACGAUGGCGAAGGCCUCUGGGAUAACUGACGCUCAUGCACGAAAGCGUGGGAGCAAACAGGAUUAGAUACCCUGGUAGUCCACGCCCUAGACGAUGUCAACUAGCUGUUGGGGCCUUCGGGCCUUUGGUAGCGCAACUAACGCGUGAAGUUACCAAGGGAUACGGUCGCAGGAUUAAAACUCAAAGGAAUUGACGGGGACCCGCCGGCGGUGGAUGAUGGAUUAAUUCGAUGCAACGCGAAAAACCUUACCUACCCAUGACAUGUCUGGAAUGCCGAAGAGAUUUGGCGGUGCUCGCAGAGAACCGGAACACAGGUGCUGCAUGGCUGUCGUCAGCUCGUGUCGUGAGAUGUUGGGUUAAGUCCGCAGCAGAAGCGCAACCCUUGUCAUUAGUUGCUACGAGGAGCACUCAUGAGACUGCCGGUGACAAAACCGGAGGAAGAUUAAGGGAUGACGUCAAGUCCUCAUGGCCAUAUGGUGAGGCUUCACCCGUCAUACAAUGGUCGGGACAGAGGGUCGCCAACCCGCGAGGGGGAGCCAAUCCCAGAAGCAGUCGUAGUCCGGAUCGCAGUCUGCAGCUCGGCUGGUGAGUCGGAAUCGCUAGUAAUCGCGGAUCAGCAUGUCGCGGUGAAUACGUUCAGGUCUUGUACACACCGCCCGUCACACCAUGGGAGUGGGUUUGCAAGUAGUUAUUCUAACCGCAAGAGGCGAUUACCGCAGUAGGAUUCAUGACUGGGGUGAAGUCGUAACAGGUAG